UACGUAGGGGGCUAGCGUUGUCCGGAAUCAUUGGGCGUAAAGCGCGCGUAGGCGGCCCGGUAAGUCCGUUGUGAAAGUCAAAGGCUCAACCUUUGAAAGCCGAUGGAUACUGCCGGGCUAGAGUCCGGAAGAGGCGAGUGGAAAUUCCUGGUGUAGCGGUGGAAUGCGCAGAUAUCAGGAGGAACACCGGUGGCGAAGGCGGGUCUCUGGGCAACAACUGACGCUGAGGAGCGAAAGCGUGGGGAGCGAACAGG
rnacentral:rRNA from 1 species